CUGCGCAAUCUACUGCCUUGCC
rnacentral:miRNA from 1 species